UACGUAGGGGGCAAGCGUUGUCCGGAUUUAUUGGGCGUAAAGAGCGUGUAGGCGGCCUGAAAGGUCAGCUGUGAAAACUCGAGGCUCAACCUCGAGACGUCGGUUGAAACCAUCUGGCUAGAGUCCGGAAGAGGAGAGUGGAAUUCCCGGUGUAGCGGUGAAAUGCGCAGAUAUCAGGAGGAACACCGAUGGCGAAGGCAGUGGUCUGGGCCGGUACUGACGCUGAGGAGCGAAAGCGUGGGGAGCGAACAGG
rnacentral:rRNA from 1 species